UACGUAGGGUGCGAGCGUUAAUCGGAAUUACUGGGCGUAAAGCGUGCGCAGGCGGUUUUGUAAGUCAGAUGUGAAAUCCCCGGGCUUAACCUGGGAACUGCGUUUGAAACUACAAGGCUAGAGUGUGGCAGAGGGGGGUGGAAUUCCACGUGUAGCAGUGAAAUGCGUAGAGAUGUGGAGGAACACCGAUGGCGAAGGCAGCCCCCUGGGUUAACACUGACGCUCAGGCACGAAGGCGUGGGGAGCAAGCAGG
rnacentral:rRNA from 1 species